GGUGUACACUUUCCUAAGCCGUAUGCAUCCUUGUCAUAUACAUACACAUUCAGGUUAAAGUAUUAUGCUACAUUAGAUUAAUGUAUACGUGUGCAAAAGCUACACAGAUGCACAAAUCACAUGUAAUGAUAGUAAUGUUACUACCCUGCAUCUUGUAAGACAAAGGUCUUAACAUCCUUCUGAGAACGUUAACACAAUCACACCCUGAAGCAGUUCAGACACCGACAGAAGGUGCACAUAAGCUUGUUGCAUCAUUACUUCUGCAGCAGACUGAGGAGACAGUAGACAGUGUGAAAAGUCCCCCAUUGCUGCAGCUUUUAUCUGAAAGUUAGCAACGGGAUUAUACCAGUGCUACGUAACGUCUGCUACUUGUGGUCUCAGAAGACGGCAACCGGUUGCACGUUACGUUGCUGAAGGGAAACCGCUGCUUCUGCAUCUGAACGCUGACUUCGGCAUCCGUAGAUGGAACCUGGUGAAGGAUAAAAUAGUUAUUGCUAAGGAUUCACACAAAGAAACUACAUGGGUUCUUUUGAAUAAAAUAUUAAAGAAGAACAAAGUUUUUAAGAAUGAUUCUGGAAUUUACUCUUUAAAUUUUUCUGCUGUAAAAAGAAGGUACUCAAUUAAAAUACAGCUGAAUGUUGAAGCUCCAGUGUCGAAUGUGACUCUCUCCCAGCUCUGUUUGCCGCACAGAGAGAUGAGGGUGUCCUGUUCCUCACAGGGAGACGCCAAGGAAUUCAGCUGGACCCUGGGGAACCAGAAACUGGACAGAACUGUAUCUUCCCUGAUCUAUCAGAAUAACAGCGUCGUACUGAAGGAGAACGUGCAGGGUAAUCUCACGUGUUCAGUUAGGAACCAUGUCAGCUACGGCGCCGUCACACGCGAACUCAUCCCCUGCCCAGGUAGAUCAC